rnacentral:rRNA from 1 species
ACCCUUAGAUGUUCUGGGCCGCACGCGUGCUACACUGACCGGCGCAACAAGCUUUUUUCCUUGGCUCGACAGGCCUGGGUAAUCUUCGAACGCCGGUCGUGAUGGGGAUAGAUCCUUGCAAUUUUUGAUCUUCAACGAGGAAUUCCUAGUAAAUGCGAGUCAUCAUCUCGCGUUGAUUACGUCCCUGCCCUUUGUACACACCGCCCGUCGCACCUACCGAUUGAAUGGUCCGGUGAAGCCUCCGGAUUGCACAGGCCCCGUGUCUGGCGUGAGAAGUUGGCUAAACCUUACCAUUUAGAGGAAGGUGAAGUCGUAACA